AUGGGAUGUCAGGAAAGUCCAGACUCAGUCCCCUGUUCAUUCCACAGACACACUGGGGCCUCUCGAGGGGAUGUGUUACAGCCUAAGUUCCACAACCCUGGUUUAACUAGCAGAGAGGGCAAGAGAAGAAAAGAGACCAGGCUCACAUUAGCAACAAAACCAAUGACAAGAUCUCAGAGGCCUGAACCCCAUCUUACUGUUCAGAUACCCUCCAGGAAGCUGCUGGUGGUACCAGAAGAGGAAGGAUGAGUGGCAGCCUGGUGAAGCCAACAGGGGGCCACUGAGGCUGGCUACAUGUAGGUAUGU